UGGGGAAUAUUGGACAAUGGGCGAAAGCCUGAUCCAGCGACGCCGCGUGGGUGAAGAAGGCCUGCGGGUUGUAAAGCCCUUUCGGUGGGGAAGAAAAGCCUCGAGUUAACACCUCGGGGUCUUGACGUAACCCAUAGAAGAAGCACCGGCUAACUCUGUGCCAGCAGCCGCGGUAAUACAGAGGGUGCGAGCGUUAAUCGGAAUUACUGGGCGUAAAGCGCGCGUAGGCGGCUUUGCAAGUCGGGUGUGAAAUCCCCAGGCUUAACCUGGGAACUGCAUUCGAGACUGCAUUGCUAGAGUAUGGGAGAGGGAAGUGGAAUUUCCGGUGUAGCGGUGAAAUGCGUAGAUAUCGGAAGGAACAUCAGUGGCGAAAGCGACUUCCUGGACCAAUACUGACGCUCAUGUGCGAAAGCGUGGGGAGCAAACAG
rnacentral:rRNA from 1 species